rnacentral:rRNA from 1 species
GACGAACGCUGGCGGCGUGCUUAACACAUGCAAGUCGAACGGGAAAUAUUUCAUUGAGACUUUGGUGGAUUUGAUCUAUUUCUAGUGGCGGACGGGUGAGUAACGCGUGGGUAACCUGCCUUAUACAGGGGGAUAACAGUCAGAAAUGGCUGCUAAUACCGCAUAAGCGCACAGAGCUGCAUGGCUCAGUGUGAAAAACUUCGGGGGUAUAAGAUGGACCCGCGUUGGAUUAGCUUGUUGGUGGGGUAACGGCCCACCAAGGCGACGAUCCAUAGCCGGCCUGAGAGGGUGAACGGCCACAUUGGGACUGGGACACGGCCCAGACUCCUACGGGAGGCAGCAGUGGGGAAUAUUGCACAAUGGGGGAAACCCUGAUGCAGCGACGCCGCGUGAAGGAAGAAGUAUCUCGGUAUGUAAACUUCUAUCAGCAGGGAAGAUAGUGACGGUACCUGACUAAGAAGCCCCGGCUAACUACGUGCCAGCCGCCGCAGUAA